CAAAAUCGUCUCCGACUUAGAACCCUAAACCUUGUCCAACUCCUCUUGCCCUGGCGAUGAAGCCCUAGAAAGGUAGCUAUAGCCUACAAUUGGUCAAAAUCUUUGCAUCUUUCGAGAUAAACAAGCCCCAUCGGAGCUCAUUAACGUUGUAAACGAUAUCGAGAUGAGGUAUUUUACCCUUUCUCUUCUCUCACCUGUCGAUUUGCUUAUCCCACUAACAUAGAUCGGUUAUGUUUCUUUGUUUCCUAUCAAGAUCUAACUUUUGAGAGCUAAUGUGGUGCGCAUUGAAACCUAGCAGUGGCUGAUGGUGUCUACCUGAAGAGCUUCGGUUGAAGCUUCAAGAGUUUUGUGUUUUUCCAGAAUACCAAAAUUGUAAAAGGUCCAUCUCUUCCUAGUUCAAUUUUUUUAUUACUCAAACUUAAACUUGGGUAAGAAUAUUUUGUGUUUAUUUUUUUCAUUUCUUUCUAUGUUCUAAGUAGUUUACAUAUCCUAUUGCUCGUGAAACAGUGUCGGUAAAUAUUUUUUUUGUACAUAAUGUUUAUGCUUCUUCAUUUCUUUCUAUGUUUUAAUUAGUUUGCAAAUUUUAUUGUGGUAUCUUAAGUUUCAUUGCGAAGCUAGAAAUGUAUUCUAUUUGCUAUCGAAUUCGAAUCUUUGUUUCCAAGGGUGAGAUUUGAUUGGGGCAAACAAUGCAUUGUUGGUAGAAAGCAUAUCACCUAAGAAGUUGACUCAAGAAUUUAUUUUAUUUUAGGUUUCAGAUUUUCAUAGGAUGAUGACAAGAGGGCAACAAGAUCAACUUUUCUUCGUUGUUGAUCUUUACAAACAUAACCUGUAUCCUCAAAUAGUAGAUACAAGGAUUAUAAAUCCGUAGCCACUGAACUAGUUAUUUUAUGAACUAAUUUUCUGCAAGUAAUACAAGAGUCAUUGCUUCAUGUUCUGAUUUAGCGUUGAAGUAUAACCAGAUCAAGUGUUUUUGGAACUUGAAUUGCUUCCACAUAGGACAGUAACACCAAACAGCUAAAUUGUAUUAGGUGAAAUAGUGCUUUGCCUUCUAAUUAUGUGUUCCUCAAUAUGAUUUUGGGGCAAAAUAUUUUUUUGUUUUUUUCGAAACAUAAAUUUUAUUGUUAUUUGUUACAUUUGUUAUGCCACAAGCUAUAGCUAAAUUUUUUUAAACUAUGCAAAGCAAUAAGUCUUUCUAGUUAAUGCCAUAGCCUCUUUAUUUUAACAAAUGCUUAGAAAUUUUUUUCCCUGUGAAGGUUAGAUAGGUGUGCUCCAACUCUAGAGAUAUGAAAAUGUUGAACUUCCAGCACCAUCCACAUUAACAUGUAAAUUUUGCUCUGGUAAGAGAUGUCGUUGAUCCAGAAAAUCGCCAAUCACAAACAGAUUAACCAACAGAUUCUACUUGACAAGUUUCAUAUUGAAGAAUAGAUAAAUAUGAAAUUCUCAUAGGUGAGUAUAACAAUUUGAUUGAGCAAAAUGAAUAUUAGUAACUUUAAACCCAUAGGUUGCUGGCUAAUGUUUCUAUGUUCUUAUCAAAUAGUAGAAGUAGUUUGAAUUAGAUGAUAUCUUCUUCUAAAAACAGAAUCAUUCAGGACGUAUGCAAUUCAUUGAUUCGCUUAUGGUGCACUUGAAGACUUUGACCUUGCUGUAAAAAAGGUAAGGCAGGCUAAUCGUUCCUUCUAGAGUUUGCUCAUAACUGUGUUAAUUCCUCCUUCAGUUGAAAGUAAGAUGUGAUGAUACACGAAUAAGUCCUUGAACUAGUUAUGUAUUAUUUCCUUAAAGAUGUCAUUUGUAUUGAAAAUACUACCUCUAAAGUAAAUUGUAGUUGCCUUGUCACUCGAAAAUGGAAGUGUGUUGAGAAAUUGAUCAUAGUUUAAAAUGUCAAUGUACAGAGGGAAUAGUCUAAUAGCUGGUGCAAAGUGUCUAAGCAAAGUCCAUCCCAAAAGUCAUUUUAUAUUACUUAAUAGUUUAAAUUAAGUAAGGUUAUUUUGGUAUAUAUAAUAUUUUGCAAAGGAUAUUUUUGUUAGGAAGAAAAGUCAAAACUGCUUCUGCUUCUGUAGAGAAGCUACUUUUUUCUGCUUUUUCAAAACUGCCUUCUAGCCAAAAGCACUUGUUUUUCAAAAACAAGCUUGGCCAAACACCUCAAAUUUUUGAAAAAAAAGCACUUCUGGCAUGGUGAGAAACUUGGCCAAAAAGGCUACUAGUCCUCUGUUCACGGUAUCAGUUAUCAAUUGUUGUCCUACAUUGUUUGACUAAGAUGUGCAAGCCAGAUAUAAUGCUCGAGAAGUAGGCUUUGGAACUACCAACUAUACUUAUGGUCAUGUGGUAGAUACAUUAGUGGUUGUUGACUAAUCUUUCUAUUGUUAAGUUGAGAUUAAUGAAGUAUCAAAUAUAUGUUUAAUGAAACUAGGAUUAAUGAUAUUUUCAAAUAAAUUUACUACUUUGAGACUUGUAUUUCUUUACAAAUUCUCGUUGUAUAUGACUUUUGAGAAUUCCUUUUUGUCUAGACUUUUUGUUGCUUAUGAAGGGUGUACCCUUUGAUCUCAGCUAUCACCACAAAAAGAAUAUGCAUAAGUAGAGUUUAGAUCAUGAGCAUCGUUUGACAAUUAUGAAUUUCUGAAUUUUGUGCGCCUGGAUCAAACUAUUUUGUAUAACUUUGCUUAGUCAUGUUGUCUCUUUGCUUUCUUAAUUGUGUUUGGCAAUCUUUAUUGUGGUCACCCCUUUUACAGUUUACUAUCAUCAUUAAAUUAUGACAUUGUCACACUGAUUUUUUGUGUUUUUUUCCCUUAAUGACAGGGACAAGGCUCUUAAACAAAUCAUAAAUAUGGCACCGACCGAGGAGUUUGAAGGCACUUAAUUUUUUUUGGUCAUAUGUAUAUGUGUUUAUUGACAAUGACAAUGAUGUAUUUCGUAGUGUAUAUUUGAUUGACUUAUUAUUAGUAAUAAAUAAGUAUUCGGCUUGAGAAAUAUUGUUGGUGUUUAUUGGAUGGAUGCAUUUAAUAUUUGUAGGCAAUUGAUAAA
rnacentral:lncRNA from 1 species